UACAGAGGGGGCAAGCGUUAUUCGGAAUUAUUGGGCGUAAAGGGCGCGUAGGCGGCUUGGCAAGUGGAUGGUGAAAUCCCUCGGCUUAACCGAGGAACUGCCGUCCAAACUGCUUCGCUUGAGACCGGGAGAGGUGAGUGGAAUUCCCAGUGUAGCGGUGAAAUGCGUAGAUAUUGGGGAGGAACACCAGUGGCGAAAGGCGGCUCACUGGGACCGGUACUGACGCUGAUGCGCGAAAGCGUGGGGAGCAAACGGG
rnacentral:rRNA from 1 species